AAACCUUUUUGAGGUGAGAUCUGGCUGUGUUGCCCAGGCUGGAGUGCAGUGGCUGUUCAUAGCUUUUAAAAGCAGUGCAUCUUCAAGGCCAUGAAGGACCUGUUUAUGCGGUGCAUGCUGUUUACCAGAGGAGGACAUCAGAUCCUGCAUUAUGUACACUGAUCGUUUCUGCAGCUGCAGAUUCUGCUGUUCGACUCUGGUCUAAAAAGGGUCCAGAAGUAAUGUGCCUUCAGACUUUAAACUUUGGAAAUGGAUUUGCUUUGGCUCUCUGCUUAUCUUUUUUGCCAAAUACUGAUGUACCAAUAUUAGCAUGUGGCAAUGAUGAUUGCAGAAUUCACAUAUUUGCUCAACAAAAUGAUCAGUUUCAGAAAGUGCUUUCUCUCUGUGGACAUGAGGAUUGGAUUAGAGGAGUGGAAUGGGCAGCCUUUGGUAGAGAUCUUUUCCUAGCAAGCUGUUCACAAGAUUGCCUGAUAAGAAUAUGGAAGCUGUAUAUAAAGUCAACAUCUUUAGAAACUCAGGAUGACGAUAACAUAAGACUGAAAGAAAAUACU
rnacentral:lncRNA from 10 species